GACGGAGGGUGCUAGCGUUGUUCGGAAUCACUGGGCGUAAAGGGCGCGUAGGCGGCCUCAGGUGUCGGAUGUGAAAGCCCGGGGCUCAACCCCGGAGGUGCAUCCGAAACUCUGGGGCUGGAGGUCGGAAGAGGAGGGUGGAAUACCCAGUGUAGAGGUGAAAUUCGUAGAUAUUGGGUGGAACACCAGUGGCGCAAGCGGCGGCCUGGGUAUGACCUGACACUGAGCCACGACGGCGUGGGGAGCAAACGGG
rnacentral:rRNA from 1 species